rnacentral:rRNA from 1 species
CACGUAGGGGGCAAGCGUUGUCCGGAAUCAUUGGGCGUAAAGAGCUCGUAGGCGGCUCAGUAAGUCGGGUGUGAAACCUCCAGGCUCAACCUGGAGACGCCACCCGAUACUGCUGUGGCUAGAGUCCAGUAGGGGAGUGUGGAAUUCCCGGUGUAGCGGUGAAAUGCGCAGAUAUCAGGAAGAACACCAAUGGCGAAGGCAGCUCUCUGGGACGGUAUUGACGCUGAGGCGCGAAAGCCAGGGGAGCAAACGGG